AUCUCUCAAAUUUAUUCAGUAAUUUAUUAAUUCUUUCAAAAAUUUUGGGCUAGUUUAUAUAAAUUUUGUGAUCAUUCAAAUUAAUAAUUAUUGAUUUAUUGCAGAUGUGCACUUUCAACCAUUUUCCAAGAAAAAUCUUCAGAAUAGUACUAAGAUUUAAUCAUCGGAUUACAUGGAAACUUGAUAUUGUGAAAAGUUAAUUUUUUUGGAGUUGGAGUUAAACAGAGGAUUUUCCAGAGAAAAUGAAGGAAUUAAACAACUUCAGGCUCAAUUGUUGAGGAGGGAUACUUUUAGGUUAUUUUUCAAAAUCAGUUACGAAUGCGACAAUGACAGUUGAUUUUUUAAUUUUCUAGGGAUAUAUGUAGGUUUCUAACAGGAAGAAAAAAACUGUCAUGGUUGAGAAAUAUACGACAGUGGACUGUUCUAAAUUUCGAAAAACUCAUAAGAAUCGCCGAAAGCAGAAAGGAAUAUGCCAUGGUGAUAUCUAACCUUCAUUGACGGAGAACGCACACUAAUAAGAAGAAGAAGAAGCGCGUCUCAGAACCAGUAGAUCUCCUUCGACGAAUCUUGGACCUGGGCUUCCAAACCUGGAAAUAAAGAAAAACAAAAUUAAUAUCUCGAGAAAAUACAAGUUUAGAUGAAUAGUGAAGAUCAAGGAUUUCAGAAUUCCAAUUUGAAACAUUUUACAUUUCUGAACUGAUGAGUUGAUUCAGACGUCCAUCAGGAAGAACUUCGCCAAUUGCACCGUCCUCACAGUUGCGCACAGAUUGAACACCAUCAUGGACUCGGACAGGGUGAUUGUAAUGGACGCAGGUCAGCUUAAAGAAUUCGCAGCUCCCCACGAACUGCUCCAAAACGAAGGAGGCUUCUUCAGCAAAAUGGUUUCAGAAACUGGAAACGAAAUGGAGACAAAGUUAAGAAAGAUCGCUGAAGAACAUUACAAGAAGAAGAAAUCGGAAUAGAAUGCUAUUGAAUGAAGAUUUCAAUGAAAUUCAUCGAAUGUGAAGAAGAAAUAGUACCACUGAUUUAAAUACUGAUAAUUAGGUGGCAAGGGAUGAAACAAGACGAUUUGAGAUGAGGGUAUUUCAGCCAAAGUUCGAAAUCUUUCUUUCAUCCCUUGCCACUCACUAUAUUAUUUAUUCAUUCAACUUGUAAUGAAAAUGAGAGUUUGAAUGUCUGGACUAUUUUCUUCCCGAAAGUGGAAAU